UACGUAGGGGGCAAGCGUUGUCCGGAUUUAUUGGGCGUAAAGAGCGUGUAGGCGGUUUGGUAGGUCCGCUGUGAAAACUCGAGGCUCAACCUCGAGACGCCGGUGGAAACCAUCAGACUAGAGUCCGGAAGAGGAGAGUGGAAUUCCUGGUGUAGCGGUGAAAUGCGCAGAUAUCAGGAAGAACACCCGUGGCUAAGGCGGCUCUCUAGUACGGUACUGACGCUGAGACGCGAAAGCGUGGGGAGCGAACAGG
rnacentral:rRNA from 1 species